GGUGUACCUGAUAAUAGCUGAAGUGUGAGCCACAGCCACUGAUGUUAAAACACUGAUGCCAAUCACCCCUCUCUUGAUUAUUAAAGCAGUGCAACAUCAAACAAACAGUCUUAUUCCUUGGAGGGUCGAGUGGUCAUUGGACCUCACCUGGAUUUAACGACUGACUUUGGAUCUGGUCUGAAACUGAAGUAUGCUGAAGAUGCCUUUUGCACUCUGGAAUUU